UUUUAAUUUUAUAAAAUUAACUUUUAUUAUUAAUUUUAUAAAAUUAUAUUGGGGUGAUAAAAAAAUUUUUAAAACUUUUUUAUUUAAUAUUCUUUAAUUUAAGUAAAAUUUUAAAAUUUAAAUUUUAAAAUUUAAGUAAAA
rnacentral:rRNA from 1 species